rnacentral:rRNA from 1 species
UUUAAUUCGAAGCAACGCGCAGAACCUUACCAGCGUUUGACAUGGUAGGACGGUUUCCAGAGAUGGAUUCCUUCCCUUACGGGACCUACACACAGGUGCUGCAUGGCUGUCGUCAGCUCGUGUCGUGAGAUGUUGGGUUAAGUCCCGCAACGAGCGCAACCCUCGUCUUUAGUUGCUAUCAUUCAGUUGGGCACUCUAAAGAAACUGCCGGUGAUAAGCCGGAGGAAGGUGGGGAUGACGUCAAGUCCUCAUGGCCCUUACGCGCUGGGCUACACACGUGCUACAAUGGCGGUGACAAUGGGCUGCAAACCGGCGACGGUGAGCAAAUCCCAAAAAGCCGUCUCAGUUCGGAUUGUUCUCUGCAACUCGAGAGCAUGAAGGCGGAAUCGCUAGUAAUCGCGGAUCAGCACGCCG